rnacentral:rRNA from 1 species
ACAACUCUCUUCAAAACCUGUGGACCUAUACCUGUUGUAUCCAACGCCGUUCUUUCGGCGGGCUCACCGGCGCUCCGGGUCGACCCUUCGGGGAGUCUCCGCGCGCAGGCGGCCCGCCGGAGGCGGCGCAACCAAACCCUUACUGUAUUUUCAGGCCUCUGUGAUUACAAAAACAAAUAAGUCAAAACUUUCAACAAUGGAUCUCUUGGUUCUGGCAUCGAUGAAGAACGCAGCGAAAUGCGAUAAGUAAUGUGAAUUGCAGAAUUCAGCGAAUCAUCGAAUCUUUGAACGCACAUUGCGCCCGCCAGUAUUCUGGCGGGCAUGCCUGUUCGAGCGUCAUUUCAACCCUCAAGCACUGCUUGGUGUUGGGGCCUGCGGCGAGCAAUCGCCGCACCCCCUAAAAUCAGUGGCGGGCCCGCCUGGAUCCCGAGCGUAGUAGCACAUCUCGCUCGCGGAGCCCACGCGCGACACGCCGUAAAACCCCCAAAUUUUACAAGGUUGACCUCGGAUCAGGUAGGAAUACCCGCUGAACUUAAGCAUAUCAAUAAGCGGAGGAAAAGAAACCAACAGGGAUUGCCCCAGUAACGGCGAGUGAAGCGGCAAUAGCUCAAAUUUGAAAUCUGGCCUCGGCCCGAGUUGUAAUUUGCAGAGGAUGCUUUUGGUGCGGUGCCUUCCGAGUCCCCUGGAACGGGGCGCCAGAGAGGGUGAGAGCCCCGUCUAGUUGGACACCUAGCCUGUGUAAAGCUCCUUCGACGAGUCGAGUAGUUUGGGAAUGCUGCUCAAAAUGGGAGGUAAAUUCCUUCUAAAGCUAAAUACUGGCC